rnacentral:rRNA from 1 species
GACGAACGCUGGCGGCGUGCUUAACACAUGCAAGUCGAACGAGAGGCGAACGGGUGAGUAAUACGUGGGUAACCUGCCCUCUCUUUGGGAUAAGCCUGGGAAACGGGGCCUAAUACCGAAUAAAGGGGGAUGGGGUCGCGGCCUAUCGGCGUGUUGGUGGGGUGAUGGCCUAGCAAGGCGGUGACGGGUAGCCGGACUGAGAGGGUGACCGGGCACGGUGGACCGGAGAUACGGCCAAGGGUGGUACGGGAGGGAGCAGUGGGGGAUAUUGCACAAUGCGCGAGAGGCUGAUGCGGCGACGCCGCGUGGGGGUUGAAGGCUUUAGGGUUGUAAACCUGGGUCGCAAUCGAAUGGGUAGGUGGAGAAGAAGCGCCGGCUAACUACGUGCCAGCAGCCGCGGUAAUUC